rnacentral:rRNA from 1 species
CAGGCCUAACACAUGCAAGUCGAACGGCAGCACAGAGGAGCUUGCUCCUUGGGUGGCGAGUGGCGGACGGGUGAGGAAUACAUCGGAAUCUACUCUGUCGUGGGGGAUAACGUAGGGAAACUUACGCUAAUACCGCAUACGACCUACGGGUGAAAGCAGGGGAUCUUCGGACCUUGCGCGAUUGAAUGAGCCGAUGUCGGAUUAGCUAGUUGGCGGGGUAAAGGCCCACCAAGGCGACGAUCCGUAGCUGGUCUGAGAGGAUGAUCAGCCACACUGGAACUGAGACACGGUCCAGACUCCUACGGGAGGCAGCAGUGGGGAAUAUUGGACAAUGGGCGCAAGCCUGAUCCAGCCAUACCGCGUGGGUGAAGAAGGCCUUCGGGUUGUAAAGCACUUUUAUCGGGAACGAAAUACCAUUGGUUAAUAACCGGUGGGGCUGACGGUACCCGAGGAAUAAGCACCGGCUAACUUCGUGCCAGCAGCCGCGGUAAUA